CAAGCUGUUACUUUCCCUGCCUCCAGUACGCACCUCGCCCCGUGUCCAGACUACAGGUCCAAAUUAAGAGUUCUAUUUCCUCUGCUUCCACUUCAUUCUGAUCGUCCGCAGCUUCUGCCUAACUCAGCGGGGCUUCAACCCACUGCUGGGCUACCAGACCCUUUUCCUGCGGAGGUUCCAGCCCGGCGCACGGCUCUUCACUCCCCGGGAAGCCGGUUUCUCCCCUCCUCCAGUAUAAUCCCACGGGGCAUAAUUCACGUUGUCCAGGACCAGACUGCCCAUACUUGUGCCGUGCCCCGCCCCCCUCCUCCUCGGACAGUGACACACAACGGGAUCCAGUGUCUCCAGGGGCUGGAUCUGGUAAUGGCAGACUGCUUAUUUCUAGCAUUACCAAUGUUGCCUUACAUGGCUCCCGUGAACUACUGUGGCUUAGGUGUCUUCACUUCGCUGAAGUACAGAGUCCAGUUGAUGGUGCAUCCCAGAAUUGUCAUCCAAAUGAUGUUCUCUAGGAAAGGUCAGAUACAUUCCAGAGAUGGAGGAGCCAAGGAAGGAGGAAAAGCAGCCUGAGAACAAAGAGCCUCAGACCACAGAAGGGCAGACACAAGAGUGCCUCAUAACGUAAAUGGUGUGUCCCAGGAGGUUCUUCAAAAGAAUAAAUGAGAAGCAUUACAAAGAGGCUUUACUCUCUUCCCCACUAAACAUACACAAAUCAGAAACAGACCUGUAAAGGAUUUAUCUCCCAUUUUACAGAAAUAAGAUAAACCCAACACAAAGAAGAAUAAUGGCCCCUCCCCCCCUGCACAAUGAGAUGCAGAGUGGAGCAAAUAAGUUAAAUGAGACAGGAAAGCCCCAAACAGAAAGGAUGGUGAGGAGCUAUUACAUUCACAGGGGAAAAACAAUAUCACAUUUUAUACAUUUGUUCCUACAUUGGCAGAUUACUGUAUUAUGAAGUAUGGCCCAGUGGAGGGUUGGCUUUUUCAGGGGGCUAUUCUUGUAAAGCAUACAGAGAUACAGACACUGAUUUCUAUAUAAAGCCACCUAGAGACUGCAGGCAACAGUGCAAGGCUAUAUCAUUCAUUACUCUCUCAAAAUACAAAAAGGUGGAAAGCAACUGCCCCAUCAGGCUUUCUCCCUACUCACAGCUGCCGAAGCAAUAUCUUUCAGAGUGCUUCAUCAUAGUCUGAUGACAGCAAUAGUUGGGAAAGAUCUUCCAGAAACAAAGUGUGGGUUUAAGAGAAGGAAUCACUGCUUAUUUGCUAGUUGUUAUUCAGCCUUUACAGGCAAAAAUAUAAGGAACAAAACCUGGACCUGUAUUAUAGCAGGGACCUGGCAGUGACUACUAUAAGGUUAUGUACCAUUUUCCAUUCUAAGCUCCUGUUUUUGCUUGCUCAUGACCUUCACCUUGGGAAGGAUGCACUACAUAUGCAUGUGCAGCUGGCUUUACUUUGCACUGAGCUAAUCAGUCACCUAAAUUGUAGGCAAUGACUUAGCUGGCUACUGGGGAACUGCAAGUAGGAAAGGUGUGGAGAAAUUCCCCUUUGUAAGGCUGUAGAACUACCAUGCAGCUGCUACUCCAGCCUAAGUGCUGAAGUAGACUCUGUGGCCCUAGCACACGCAGCCCAUGCACAUAUGAGAGGAGAGGUCCAAAAGAUUUGUGUAGCAGUAGAUUCUUCUCUGGCAGUCUCAUGUUCCAACUACUCACUGUUGUGCAGUGGAUCCAUACAGAGAUACAUUGUUCCAUAUGUUGGGAACUGAAACUGUACAAUGCACUUGCAAAACUUCCCUCUCUAGUAGUAGCAGCAAUAUCCCUUAAAGCAGCUCUCGCUCCAUCCCAGAGAGCAUUCUGGGAGUGUCAUCUCUAGGCCAGGGCACUGUUGCAGCAUGAGAUGAAUAGGAUAAUGAGUUAGCUACCUUAUCCAUGUGACUACAGGAAGCAGAAGGGAGAUCAUAGUUGCUGCUGCUUCUGAGUGGAGACAAUGUUCUGUCAUGCAAGGUUGGGGAUUGUGGAGGUCAGCAGCUCCAGCAAGGCAAAGAAGCUCUGUUUGGCAGUUGCUAUCUCUUCUGUCGUUACAAGUACUGUGGCCCUUUCUGAUGUCUCUGUGUGCAUCCUGUCGAAGUCCUCACACUUCUGUUUGCUACACAAAUAAGCCACCACCUCUUGCAGCUCUCUUACCAGCUUCCUGAGAGACUCCACCAACAGACACCUCUCACACCUAGUGGUUCCCCCUGCCUGGCUUUUGCUGGCCUCCAAGGGCAGUUUGCCUGUCUGACAGGGGGAGGCAGAGGAAGAGCUAGCGGUGGUGUUGGCAACAUGCCAUUCUUCUCCCAUGCUGGGUUCUUCCUGUACCUUCAAGUUAAGGAAACAGAAAGCAACACAAGUCUACCUCCUUGCCUCCCUCCAGUGGUGAGCAUGGAAAAUCCCCAGUGGAAGAACAGAAAGAGAAAAUGUCAGACUAUGUUCAGAAGAGUCAAGCAAGCUGUCUAAACAAAGGGUGCUAUUCCAUCACUACAAACAGAAGAUACAGCUGGAGGAGGGAGAGCAGAAAGGACUUUUGCCUUUCCCAAAGACAUGACCAAACCCGAAGACUCUCGGCAGUGGUGAGAACUCCAAAGGGGGAUGGUAUUUAUUGUUUUGCCUAGAUCCGUAACUCUCCUGUGCUGUCUAAGAAUUAAAUAUAUAUGUUUAAGAAGUUCCUUUACAAAGUUUGCAUUCCUUGCUUUAACUGCCACAUGGUCCUCAAUGGAUUAGGUGACCACAGCUAGAUGGGACUCUGGGAGAAUGUGCACAGA